rnacentral:rRNA from 1 species
GACGAACGCUGGCGGCGUGCUUAACACAUGCAAGUCGAACGGAAAGGCCCUGCUUUUGUGGGGUGCUCGAGUGGCGAACGGGUGAGUAACACGUGAGUAACCUGCCCUUGUCUUUGGGAUAACUUCAGGAAACAGGGGCUCAUACCGGAUAGGAGCUCCUGCUGCAUGUUGGGGGUUGGAAAGUUUCGGCGGUUGUGGAUGGACUCGCGGCUUAUCAGCUUGUUGGUGGGGUAGUGGCUUACCAAGCCUUUGACGGGUAGCCGGCCUGAGAGGGUGACCGGCGACAUGAGGACUGAGAUAGGGACCAGACGCCUACGGGAGGCAGCAGUGGAGAAUAUUGCGCAAUGGGCGGAAGCCUGAUGCAGCAACGCCGCGUGCGGGAUGACGGCCUUCGGGUUAUAAACCGCUUUCGCCUGUGACGAAGCGUGAGUGACGGUAAUGGGUAAAGAAGCACCGGCUAACUACGUG